AAAAAAGCUUUGCCAGCCUUACCGUCCCUACGGCACGACGUCUCUAACGUCGGCGACCGCGACGACGACGCCCCCGCGUAUCCCCUCCUCGCGUGCUCCGUUCGCAAACGCUGCCUCCAUCUCCUGCAGGUGCGGCCAUCCUGUCACCCCCAAAAAUCUCAGAAUCGUAGCUAUUAGGGUUUCUACCUGUCGAUCUAGAAAUAAACCAUCCGUCCGAACGCGCUGCGGAGGUUGGUGGCACGGCGAGGCUGUGGCUAUUCGUGUCCGGAGACGAGCAGCGUGAGAUAACACGGCUCCACCUCCUACCCCUCCCAAUCGACGCAAGCCUCUACUGCGAACCCGUGAAGAAAUGCGCGGACGACACCGAAGCCACGCCGCCGCGCUCAUGCACCCGCACGACCGACGAUGGCCGGUGAGGCGCCGCCGCCAUCCUUACCAUCUCGCCUGCGCAUUCGCUCUUCUUCAUCUCAUCCUGCCUCCACUCUUCUUCACAAAUAUGCAUGGCGGUCUUCGCAGACCGUCCACGGCGAGUGUUUCCUCCCGUCUCCUCCGUGCUCAUUCCUCUCUUUCGAUUCUUCGAUGCCCAGUUUACUUGCAAAUGCAGCUGCUGACAAACACUCUCCCUAAGUUACUCGGUAAAGGAUAACAAAAGGCUGCUCUCCUCCUCGUUCCAGUAGCAGCAAUGCAAUAGAAGAUUCAGUUUCUACUUUGCUUUGCUGAUCCUCUCCAAAAGCCCAACCAAACUUAAUUUGUCUACACACACGUCGUUACUUUUCUAUUUUCCCAUCAAACAAUACCAUACAGAAUAAAACUUGAUUUGUUUAUUCCAAAUAUUGUAGGUUCUCUCAACGCUUGCACCCAUCGCAAAUCUCUUUUCAUGUCAUGCGGCUUCUACCAGACCAUGUUUGACUAUCCAGAAAAAAAACACUUUGUUCUUCCACAUUUAUGUGAUACAUACACGACAUUACUUUUCCUUUUUUUCUCGUCAUUUCUUAACAUAUAUACAACAAAUUUUAAUAUGCAUGUUUUUGCUGCUCCGAGCUGCCUUCUGUACAUAAUGACCACUGUGUUGAAAUUUAAUAGCUCAAUAGAAUGUCAUUUGCUUUCUUUCUUCUUGCCUAUCUUCGAAUAUCUAUAACUUAUUUACACAACAAUUUCUAGAUGCAUCUGUUACAAUAGAAUCCUAUGUCCUACUAUAGUUUUAUUUACAAUUAACAAAGAUCAUUACAUAUUUUUCCCCAUAUGUACAGCUUGAUGCAAUAUCCGACGACAAAGAAAAAGGUCCAGAGACACAAUUGAAUUGCCGUCCAAAAGAUCACAUUCUGCAACAAUAUCUCCUACAUUAAUUAUUUUAUGCUUUCCAUGAUAUCGUCAUUCCAGUUUUCCUUCUUAAUUACUGAGACCAUAUACCUGAUCUUCUUUGUACUACAUUUCAAUGACAUAUGUUUUUAUCUUCAUGUACAACAUGUUAUACAAUGUUCUCUAUUCUAUUCAAGUUCAUCCCAAACGUGAUACCAUAUAAAAAUACAUAUAAAGGAAAUAGGCUAAAUGUGAUGGACACUUAUACUAAACGUAUCAAUCUCUGCAUUUUCCCUGUUUCUUUGUUUUUUAUUAUUUGUUGCAACGAUCUGGCAUUAUUUGUGAAAAUAUAUAUAAAUAACUUGCUAAUUUUUUAAAAUAUGUGCCCAAAAUGAUACAAAUACAACUCACUCCAUAAAUGAAGGUACAAAGAAUAGUCCAUUAACAUUUUUUACAAUUCGGCUGAAGGUUCAAGCAAGGACCCUUGCGCAUCAGUGAAGAAACGGACAAUAAAAUCUUCCAAGAACUAAAAGAUUCCCUCGUAUCACCGCCAGUCUUUUGAGUUGUGGGAUAUUUAUUUUGUAUUAUCUAUGUAAUGAUAUGUAUAUAUGUUUUUUUAAAACAAUUUGUUUAAAUAUAACAAACUAACUCCAGAUAUUGCAACAGACAUAUUAACCCUUGGUAUGUCUCACCUAACUUUAUUUUAGAUAAACCUAUCUAUUCUAGACUCUACUCAUAUGUUCUGUGUUUGGUGUGAGUAUAUUAAUUACAAUAAGUACAAAUAGUUUGCUUACAAUCAAUAUAACAUAUUUAAUAUUAAAAUUACAAAACAUUUGUGUUAUGCUGUAAAUAGAUUAUAUUGAACAAACCUAUUCACUUAUUGUAAACAGAU
rnacentral:lncRNA from 1 species